CCUACGGGAGGCAGCAGUGGGGAAUAUUGCGCAAUGGACGAAAGUCUGACGCAGCGACGCCGCGUGUGGGAUGAAGCCUUUCGGGGCGUAAACCACUGUUGCCCGGGACGAACCUCCCCUUUCGAGGGGACUGACGGUACCGGGUGAGGAAGCACCGGCUAACUCUGUGCCAGCAGCCGCGGUAAUACAGAGGGUGCGAGCGUUGUCCGGAAUCACUGGGCGUAAAGGGCGCGUAGGUGGCUGGGUAAGCGUGUGGUGAAAGUCCGGGGCUCAACCCCGGAUCUGCCGUGCGAACUGCCGAGCUUGAGCGAUGUAGAGGCAGGUGGAAUUUCGGGUGUAGCGGUGGAAUGCGUAGAGAUCCGAAAGAACACCAGUGGCGAAGGCGAUCUGCUGGAACAUUAUUGACGCUGAGACGCGAAAGCGUGGGGAGCAAACAGGAUUAGAUACCCUGGUAGUCCACGCCCUAAACGAUGUACACUAGUUGUUGUGAGGCUCGACCUUGCAGUAAUGCAGUUAACACAUUAAGUGUACCGCCUGGGGAGUACGGUCGCAAGAUUAAAACUCAAAGGAAUUGACGG
rnacentral:rRNA from 1 species